UACGUAGGGGGCUAGCGUUGUCCGGAUUUAUUGGGCGUAAAGAGCGUGUAGGCGGCCAGGUAGGUCUGCUGUGAAAACUCGAGGCUCAACCUCGAGACGUCGGCGGAAACCAUCUGGCUAGAGUCCGGAAGAGGAGAGUGGAAUUCCUGGUGUAGCGGUGAAAUGCGCAGAUAUCAGGAAGAACACCCGUGGCGAAGGCGGGUUGCUGGGCUGAUACUGACGCUGAGGCGCGAAAGCCAGGGGAGCGAACGGG
rnacentral:rRNA from 1 species